GAUAAACGCUGGCGGCGUGCCUAACACAUGCAAGUCGAACGCCCUUGGCAACAAGGGAGUGGCGGACGGGUGAGUAACACGUGGGCAACCUGCCCUUCAGUGAGGAAUACCGGCGAGAAAUCGCCGACAAGACCGCAUACGCUUGGCAACAAGCAAAGCCUGCAAAGGCGCUGAAGGAGGGGCCUGCGGCUGAUUAGCUAGUUGGUGGGGUCAUAGCUCACCAAGGCGACGAUCAGUAGCUGGUCUGAGAGGACGAUCAGCCACACUGGGAUUGAGA
rnacentral:rRNA from 1 species